GACGAACGCUGGCGGCGUGCUUAACACAUGCAAGUCGAACGGAAAGGCCCUGCUUUUGUGGGGUGCUCGAGUGGCGAACGGGUGAGUAACACGUGAGUAACCUGCCCUUGACUUUGGGAUAACUUCAGGAAACUGGGGCUAAUACCGGAUAGGAGCUCCUGCUGCAUGGUGGGGGUUGGAAAGUUUCGGCGGUUGGGGAUGGACUCGCGGCUUAUCAGCUUGUUGGUGGGGUAAUGGCUUACCAAGGCUUUGACGGGUAGCCGGCCUGAGAGGGUGACCGGCCACAUUGGGACUGAGAUACGGCCCAGACUCCUACGGGAGGCAGAAGUGGGGAAUAUUGCACAAUGGGCGGAAGCCUGAUGCAGCAACGCCGCGUGCGGGAUGACGGCCUUCGGGUUGUAAACCGCUUUCGCCUGUGACGAAGCGUGAGUGACGGUAAUGGGUAAAGAAGCACCGGCUAACUACGUG
rnacentral:rRNA from 1 species